GACGAACGCUGGCGGCGUGCUUAACACAUGCAAGUCGAACGGUGAAGGGGAGCUUGCUCCCCGGAUCAGUGGCGAACGGGUGAGUAACACGUGGGCAACCUGCCCCAGACUUCGGGAUAACGCUUCGAAAGAGGUGCUAAUACCGGAUACGAACUCCUUGGGCAUCCCGGGAGUUGGAAAGUUUUUUCGGUCUGGGAUGGGCCCGCGGCCUAUCAGCUUGUUGGUGAGGUAACGGCUCACCAAGGCGACGACGGGUAGCCGGCCUGAGAGGGCGACCGGCCACACUGGGACUGAGACACGGCCCAGACUCCUACGGGAGGCAGCAGUGGGGAAUAUUGCGCAAUGGGCGAAAGCCUGACGCAGCAACGCCGCGUGAGGGAUGACGGCCUUCGGUUGGUAACCGUACUUUCUACGUCACGGGAAGGAAAGGACGGAAAAC
rnacentral:rRNA from 1 species